CUAUGUAUACCAAAGUGUGAUGGUGGCUUGGGUUUUCGGGAUUUACACUCUUUUAACUUGGCACUGCUUGCGAAGCAGUGCUGGAGGUUGCUCACAAAUCAGGAGUCCUUUUGUGCUCGCAUUUUGAAGGCAAAAUAUUACCCACAUACAGAUCUGCUCCAUGCUGGACCAAAAAAUGGGUCUUCAUUCACAUGGCAGAGUUUGAUAGCGGGUUUGACUACCUUU
rnacentral:rRNA from 1 species